rnacentral:rRNA from 1 species
GACGAACGCUGGCGGCGUGCUUAACACAUGCAAGUCGAACGGAAAGGCCCUGCUCUUGUGGGGUGCUCGAGUGGCGAACGGGUGAGUAACACGUGAGUAACCUGCCCUUGACUUUGGGAUAACUUCAGGAAACUGGGGCUCUUACCGCAUAGGAGCUCCUGCUGCAUGGUGGGGGUUGGAAAGUUUCGGCGGUUGGGGAUGGACUCGCGGCUUAUCAGCUUGAUGGUGGGGUAGUGGCUUACCAAGUCUUUGACGGGUAGCCGGCCUGGGAGGGUGACCGGCCACAUUGGGACUGAGAGACGGCGCAGACUCCUACGGGAGGCAGCAGUGGAGAAUAUGGCACAAUAGGCGGAAGCCUGAUGCAGCAACGCCGCGUGCGGGAUGACGGCCUUCGGGUUGUAAACCGCUGUCGCCUGUGACGAAGCGGGAGUGACGGUAAUGGGUAAAGAAGCACCGGCUAACUACGUG